GUCUCGAAAAACCAAGGUGGGGGUUGUGUGGGGGAAAAAAAGGUGUGUGUUGAUGUAGAAUGAUGUAUUUAAAGCCUGGCUCUCUGCCAAUGAGUUGUGUGAAUUUUAGGGUAGUCACUGAACUUCUCUGGUCUCUAGAGACUAGGGUCCUUCAAAGGGAAGGUUGUGAACCAAGCAUAUUACAUAUAGCAUAUGACAUGUUUGUCCACCAAUGUAGGCCAUUAUGAUCUAUCCUGGGGCUAGAGCUGUAGGUCUUGCUGAGAGUUGAGGUUCCUGGGGUCUGUUGAGGCAUGUAGAGGAUUGGAGGUGGAGUUGGCAUUUUCCUGUGGUUAGCCACGAUUGCCAGCUGGCCCUUCGCAGCUCCUCCACAAGACUUGAUGACCUCUCACUUUAAGGCAGGAGUCACUCUGGAUCUUCCUGGUAUCAUCACCAUGUUCAAUUUUAUACGGUACUGAGGAUAGAACCCAGAGCCUGGAGCAUUCUGGAGAGCAGAGGUUGAUAUGCAGCAUCUUCUUCAAUUGCUGACAUUAUCAUCUAUUCUGGGUAAGCAUUCUGCCAGUCAAGCUACAGUCCUGGUCUAGCUGAGAAUCCCUGAGUUCAUUUACAUUGCUAGCAUACCUAGGCAGAAGGUGGGCCCUAACACCCGUCAGACACUAAGUGGGUACCAAGGAUCUGACUUCCAGUCCUCACACAUGGCACAUGUCUUAACCACCAAGCUGUUUCCCCAGCCCCCUACAUACAUUUUGUACCAAUGGCUUCUGUCCUUGCUUGCUUCAUUAUGAUUUGAGGACAAAGCAGUAUCUUAAUUUAUGCUCUAAUCCCUUAAUGCACUAUUAAAAUUUGGCAGGUGCUCAAUAAACAUUUGUUGAGUGAAUCAAGACAAAAAUUCCCAUGUGGUUCAAAGAGGUAAUCAGGGUCAGCAGCAACAGUAACCUCAUAAGCCCUUGACAGGAGGUGAUGGGGAAGGGUGCUUUAAUUCUGUGGUGUUUCUCCAUUGAGGUCAUUGUCUUACUCUAUGAGAAGAAUGCCAGAGAGGUCCUGAUGAAGGGGUACUGCAUGAAAUAUCUUGUCUGUGAAGGUCAUCAGAAAAAAGGGCAUUACAAGGAAGUGCCAUAGCCCAUGGGAGCUGGAGGACAUGUAAUAACUAAACAUCAUAGGGGUAAAAAUAGACACUAGAGGUUGGGGAGAUGGAUCAGUGGGUAAAGUCCUUACUGUGUAUAUUUGAGGACCUGGGUUUGAGUCCCCUGAACCCUUAUAUAAAGCUGGAGAAGUAGUGCAUGUCUGUAAUCCCAGCAUUCCAGUGGCAAGACAGGAGGUAGAAAGAGAGAAUCCAUGGGAGCUUUCAGGCUCAGCCAGCCUAACAAGAGACCAUGUCUCAAACAACAUGGACGGUGUGGUCAGAUGCUGCAGGCUGUCUUUUGACUUCCACAUGCACAAAGUGAUAUGCACCUGUAUGCUUAGACACAAAUGUAAUACAGACAUAUACAUACAUUGAUCCAAUAAAAAUGUAUAUUAAAAAAUUAGGGUGUUAAACUGGAGAGUUUGCUCAGCAGUUAAGAACCCUUGCUGCUCUUGCAGAGGACACGAGUUAGGUUCCUAGAACCCAGAUCGGUCACCUCUCAACAGCUUACAACUCCAGCUCUAUGGGACCUGAUGUCCUCUUCUGGCCUCUUUAGUAACCAUAUGAACAUUCUCAUGCACACAAUUUAAACAGACUCACAUACACAUGAAUAAAAAAUAAAAAUCUUUAGGGACUGGAGAGAUGGUUCAGUAGUUAAUAACAUGUACUGCUCUUACAGACAUAUUCACACUUGCACACAAAAUGAAUAAAACUAAAUAAAAUAAAUAAAAAUGUAAUAAGGCCAUCUUUGGUCACAUAAUGAAUCCAAAUCUAUCCUGGGCUAUAAGAGUUUCUAUAUCAAAAAAAACCCUACCCCAUAUUAUAAAAAUAAAUUAUACACAUAAUACAUACAUAUAUAUGUGUGUGUGUGUGUGUGUGUGUGUGUGUGCGCGCGCACAUGCGCUAAUAUACUUUUAUUUGUGGUACUCAUGGUCAAAUCAAGACUUCAUGCUAGACAAGUUAUCUACUACUGAACUACAUCCCCAACCUCACAGAAUAUUGUUCAAAAAAUAUUGUGUACAAGGGUAGUUAGAAAAAUAAAGAGCAGAAUAAAGAAUAUUAGAAAAUAAAGAAGCACCACACUGAUAGGGAGAGGGUCAUUGGUUGGUACCCCAAUUCUGACAUCAGAAGAGGAUUUGAACUUGGUUUCUUCUCUCCACUCUGCCCUACAUUUUACCCAUGAUGCUUCUGCCUUUUCUAUAUUUUUAUUUUAAAAACAUGUAGUUAAAAAUAUACAUUAUGUUUAAUAUAUAACAUGUUAUUAUAUAUGUAUAUGGGCCAGGGAUGUGGCUCAGUUGGCAGCAUGCUUGCUUAGCAUAUAUGAAGCCCUGGGUUCCAUCCCCAACACCAUAUAAAACCAGGCGUGUGGGCUAGAAAGAAGGCUUGGUGGUUAAGAGUACUUGCUGCUUAACCAUGAGGACCUGCAUUCUGAUCCUAGCACCCAUAUAAUAAACCAGAGUGGUGCUGCAGUAACCCCAGUGUUGUAAGGGCCAGAAAUAAGAUUAUUGCUGGACUUGCUAGUUGUUAGUCUAGUCUAAAAUUAUGAGAUCCAAGUUCAGGGAGAGACCCUGCCUCAAAGGAAUAAGUCAGAGAGUGAUAGAGGAAGAUUCCUUUCUCUGGCCUUUGUGAACAUGUACAGGUGUGUGCACUUGCAUAAAUGUCCCCCUUCCACAAAAUCAGACAUAGUGGUUUAUGUCUGUCAUUUCAAUACUCAGGAAUUAGAGACAGGAAGACCAGGGUUCAAGGCCAGUUUCAGCUAUAUAGGGAGAUUGAUGCUAACAUAAGACCCUCUCCUAUCUCAAAAACAACAAAAAGCAGAAAAACAAAAACAAACAAACAAAAAACAAAAACAAACAAACAAAAAAAAAAACCAAUAAAACAAAAACCCAACCAAACCCAACCCAAAAACAAAGUUGGGCAUGGUGAUGCACACCUUUAAUCCCAGCACUCAGGAGGCAGUUCCAGGAGAAUCUCUGAGUUUGAGGCCAGCAUGUGUGGGUCCAUGUUCUACCUGGCAGCUGGGGUAUGGCUGAUGCCAUAGGGUACCAGGCUUUAGCAAAGCACUGAGAUAUGGCUCAGGGGGUGAGAAAAUACAGUCUAAAAUGGGGGAGGCUGAAGCUGGGGUUCCCUGACUCCUGAGCAUCUAGUUGCCACUGGGGUGCUACACAGAAGAGUUGGGAAUGAAGGAUUGGGGUCCAUGGACCCAUGAUGAGGUUGGGACUGGGUGCUCCAAACUUUUGGACAUCCAGGUCCUCUGAGUUUCGAGGAAUUGAGAGCAGAGUCAGGGGCCCACAGGCUGAGGACUAGCCUGGGGCUGGGGGAUAAUGGGAACUUAGGCUUAGCUUGGUGGUGGUUUUCUGGAAGUGCAGAGAGGCCUUCUACAGGAGACUUAGGCUGCAGCUCUGUAGGAGUAGGCUUUAUUGACUCUUCAUUGUGGAAAAUGGAUGCAUAUCAAUUCCUGAGGGUGGACCAGAGAUUAAAUACAUUUUACAGGGAGGAAUGUCUGAGAAGGGAAGCUUACUGGUUAAACCCUCAGGGUCUCUAGGUACCUCAUUAGCAUAGAGAGCUCUGUUCUGGGCUGUGUGACUACUGUGGCAAGUAUGGACAGGUGUUCCAGGACAGGAAUCUGGCAGGGAACAGCCGCCUACUGUCUCAGGUGGGUGCCUGGGAGCCAGGGACUCUGAACCCGCUCAACCUACCAAGUUUCCUGGCAUGGUCCACUGUCCCACAAGCAUGGUCUAGAAUGGCCAGGGCUACACAAAGAAACUGUCUCAAAACCCAAAACAAAACAAAACAAUCCAGCCAGAAAUGAUAGACAUAAAACACUGAGUGCAGCUGGUAAAUCUUAGUGAGCACUUGAUAAUUCACAAUCAUUGUUUUUCAGCACAGUGAACCAGCCAGCCUAUAUGGGCAACUUCUAUGGAGGGCAUGACAUUAUGAAGAGGAAUAAAGACCCCAAAUUCUUUUUGAAAAAUUUGAAUAGAAUUGAAUUGAAAAAUUGAAAAAAGUCACAUUUCAGAUCUCCUCCCUCCUAUGAUUACCACAAACAUAGAUUCAGAUCAGGAUCUGAAGCUUGGAAUGGUGCUACUUGUCCCCAAUGUCCCCAAACUGGUCAGCAGACCAUCAUUGCUGUGGCUGUCCCCAAGUCCUGGGGCAAUAGUAUGGCUGGGUUCUAGGUUCUUUUGUUUGGCAAAGGGUAUAUAGUUCCUGGGGUAACAAGGAAAACACCGAGGAUUGCUUUCUUCUCCCUUGCAUUUUUAGCUAUUUUAAAUUUCUUCUGCUCAUCUUCAUCUUCCUUCUCCUCCUCCUCUUCUUUUUGAGAUAGAAAUCAUAUGUAGCCCUGGCUGGUUUCAAACCUGAUAGGUAAAUGAGGAUGACCUUGAACUCCUGAUCUGCCUGCUCCCAUUUACUGAGUGCUGAGAAGACAGAUAUAGACUACCAAACAGGUUAGUUUUAAAUGUCAGUUUGCUGUAACCUAGAAUCAUCAGGGAGGGUCUCAAUUGCAAAAUUGUCUAAAUCAAGUCAGCCUAUGGGCUUAUCUGUUGGGGACUGUCUUGACUGUUAAAUGACAGAGCCCAUUGUGGAUGACACCAUUCUCUAUGCUAGCUUCUGGAAUGUAUGAGAGAAAAGAAAUCUUUCUGAGCAAAAGUUAAUUAAGCAAGUAGGCAGCAAUGGAUACUCUCUGCUCUUGAUAGUCAUCUAAGUUCCUGCUUCAACUUCCCCAAAAAUGAUGGGCUGUAGCCUGGAAUGGUAAGCCAAUAAGCCCUUCUUCCCUUGAGAUUUUUGAUUGGGAUAUUUUUCAAAAUUUCAUUUUAUUGCCAGGUGGUGGUGGUACAGCCUUUAAUCCCAGUCCUUGGGAGGCAGAAGUAUCUCUAAGUUCAAGACCAGUCUUGUCUACAAAGUUGCAGAAUGGUCAGGGCUACACAGAGAAAUCCUGUCUUAAAAAAAAAAAAAAAA